rnacentral:rRNA from 1 species
UACGGCGAGUGAAGCGGCAAAAGCUCAAAUUUGAAAUCUGGUACCUUCGGUGCCCGAGUUGUAAUUUGGAGAGGGCAACUUUGGGGCCGUUCCUUGUCUAUGUUCCUUGGAACAGGACGUCAUAGAGGGUGAGAAUCCCGUGUGGCGAGGAGUGCGGUUCUUUGUAAAGUGCCUUCGAAGAGUCGAGUUGUUUGGGAAUGCAGCUCUAAGUGGGUGGUAAAUUCCAUCUAAAGCUAAAUAUUGGCGAGAGACCGAUAGCGAACAAGUACAGUGAUGGAAAGAUGAAAAGAACUUUGAAAAGAGAGUGAAAAAGUACGUGAAAUUGUUGAAAGGGAAGGGCAUUUGAUCAGACAUGGUGUUUUGUGCCCUCUGCUCCUUGUGGGUGGGGGAAUCUCGCAUUUCACUGGGCCAGCAUCAGUUUUGGUGGCAGGAUAAAUCCAUAGGAAUGUAGCUUGCCUCGGUAAGUAUUAUAGCCUGUGGGAAUACUGCCAGCUGGGACUGAGGACUGCGACGUAAGUCAAGGAUGCUGGCAUAAUGGUUAUAUGCCGC